rnacentral:rRNA from 1 species
CGGCGGACGGGUGAGUAACGCGUGAGGAACCUGCCUCAAAGAGGGGGACAACAGUUGGAAACGACUGCUAAUACCGCAUAAGCCCACGGCUCGGCAUCGAGCAGGGGGAAAAGGAGUAAUCCGCUUUGAGAUGGCCUCGCGUCCGAUUAGCUAGUUGGUGAGGUAAUGGCCCACCAAGGCGACGAUCGGUAGCCGGACUGAGAGGUUGAACGGCCACAUUGGGACUGAGACACGGCCCAG